UAACACAUGCAAGUCGAGGGGAAACGACAUCGAAAGCUUGCUUUUGAUGGGCGUCGACCGGCGCACGGGUGAGUAACGCGUAUCCAACCUGCCCACCACUUGGGGAUAACCUUGCGAAAGUAAGACUAAUACCCAAUGAUAUCUCUAGAAGACAUCUGAAAGAGAUUAAAGAUUUAUCGGUGAUGGAUGGGGAUGCGUCUGAUUAGCUUGUUGGCGGGGUAACGGCCCACCAAGGCGACGAUCAGUAGGGGUUCUGAGAGGAAGGUCCCCCACAUUGGAACUGAGACACGGUCCAAACUCCUACGGGAGGCAGCAGUGAGGAAUAUUGGUCAAUGGACGAGAGUCUGAACCAGCCAAGUAGCGUGCAGGAUGACGGCCCUAUGGGUUGUAAGCUGCUUUCAUAAGGGAAUAAAGUGAGUCUCGUGAGACUUUUUGCAUGUACCUUAUGAAUAAGGACCGGCUAA
rnacentral:rRNA from 1 species